rnacentral:lncRNA from 1 species
AUGAAUGAGUCAGGUGAAAUUACUUGUUUUUGUUUUUUUUUUUUUCAUUUCUGUUUUUCACCCUGCAAGGGCACAUUUGUGAGUUUCCUAAGCAUGAAAUGGAGUACCCUCGGGUCCCAUUUCCAGCCCACGGCAUUGAUUAUGGCAGAGACUGCUUUCCUGAAGCAUGUGCCGUGUUGGGAGAAUGAAUUGCAGUGGACAAUGGAUGAAACAGGCGAUGCUAAAAUCAAAUCAGGUGAGAAAUCAAUGCUGAAUCCCAUUUCCUCUCUUGGGCCUGGAUCAGAGAGGCCCGGAUUCAAGUCUCAGCCACACCGCUUAGCAUUUGGGUGGACUCGGAUACGCCACUUUCCCUCUCUAGGUUUUGGGUUUCUCAUCUAUAAAGUAGGAGUAGUUAGAACAUGCAAUCUUGGGGCUAUUAUAAAAAUUAAAUGAGCUAAUUCAUGGACAGAGGGUAGCAUAGAGCAAGCACCCAAUAAAUGCAAACUAUCACCGCUGCUGCCUUUUCGC